CUAUACAUGCAAGUCGAGCGAAUGGAUUAAGAGCUUGCUCUUAUGAAGUUAGCGGCGGACGGGUGAGUAACACGUGGGUAACCUGCCCAUAAGACUGGGAUAACUCCGGGAAACCGGGGCUAAUACCGGAUAACAUUUUGAACCGCAUGGUUCGAAAUUGAAAGGCGGCUUCGGCUGUCACUUAUGGAUGGACCCGCGUCGCAUUAGCUAGUUGGUGAGGUAACGGCUCACCAAGGCAACGAUGCGUAGCCGACCUGAGAGGGUGAUCGGCCACACUGGGACUGAGACACGGCCCAGACUCCUACGGGAGGCAGCAGUAGGGAAUCUUCCGCAAUGGACGAAAGUCUGACGGAGCAACGCCGCGUGAGUGAUGAAGGCUUUCGGGUCGUAAAACUCUGUUGUUAGGGAAGAACAAGUGCUAGUUGAAUAAGCUGGCACCUUGACGGUACCUAACCAGAAAGCCACGGCUAACUACGUGCCAGCAGCGGCCGGGUAAUAA
rnacentral:rRNA from 1 species